rnacentral:rRNA from 1 species
ACGCACGCUGGCGGCGUGCUUAACCCCUGCAAGUCGCACGGAAAGGCCCUGCUUUUGUGGGGUGCUCGAGUGGCGAACGGGUGAGUAACACGUGAGUAACCUGCCCUUGACUUUGGGAUAACUUCAGGAAACUGGGGCUAAUACCGGAUAGGAGCUCCUGCUGCAUGGUGGGGGUUGGAAAGUUUCGGCGGUUGGGGAUGGACUCGCGGCUUAUCAGCUUGUUGGUGGGGUAGUGGUUUACCAAGGCUUUGCCGGGUAGCCGGCCUGAGAGGGUGACCGGGCACAUUGGGCCUGAGAUACGGCCCAGACUCCUACGGGAGGCAGUGGUGGGGAAUAUUGCACAGUGGGCGGAAGCCUGAUGCAGCAACGCCGGGUGCGGGAUGACGGCUUUCGGGUUGUAAACCGCUUUCGCCUGUGACGAAGCGGGAGUGACGGUAAUGGGUAAAGAAGCACCGGCUAACUACGUG